UAAACUAGUAAAUUAACAUUUUCUAUAAUAUAACAAUUCAAAUAAUUAUAUCAAAAAAGAAUAAAAGAAAAAGAACUUCAUCUUCUCCAAAUACCGGACCUCGAACCCAGAACCAGUCACUUCCGACAUCACCACCAAUCCACACGUCGUCGUACCGCCCAACCAUCACCGCCUCCGCUACCUAAUAUUAUCGCACGGUACCAACCGCCGCCGCCAGAAACCAAAAACAAAUUAACUUUAUCUUUGGGAUUCACUACUGAUCCACUGCAACUAGAUAUCGAAUUCAAACCACAAGAUCCAUUAGCUCAGGAAAAAAUAAGGAAAAAUCAUCAUAACCCCUUUGUAUUCAAUAGGUCAAUCUCCUCGAAGGGAAAUUAACUGAAUAGAUGGUGAUAAAUGUCAUUUUGAGCCCCAUUUUUGGGAAGUGAUAAAUUUCGAGCGCUUGCAAUUACCAAACAAAGAUUGUUGUUGGUUUAUGUGUGCAACGUAGGGAAGAAUUUUUCUGGUUCUUCUUCUAUGUCUACUUUCUGGGAUUCCAAGUAAAGGGAUUU
rnacentral:lncRNA from 1 species